rnacentral:rRNA from 1 species
UUCGCCCUUAGAGUUUGAUCCUGGCUCAGAAUCAACGCUGGCGGCGUGCCUAACACAUGCAAGUCGAACGGGAAAGCACUUUUCGGAGUGUGAGUAAAGUGGCGGACGGGUGAGUAACGCGUGGGUGAUCUACCCUUGGGUGGGGGAUAACUCGGGGAAACCCGGGCUAAUACCGCAUAAGCCGGUGUUCGGAAGCGGACACGGGGAAAGUCGAAAGAUGCCGAAGGAGGAGCCUGCGUCCGAUUAGCUAGUUGGAGAGGUAAGAGCUCCCCAAGGCGACGAUCGGUAGCCGGUCUGAGAGGACGGACGGCCACACUGGGACUGAGACACGGCCCAGACUCCUACGGGAGGCAGCAGUGGGGAAUUUUGGGCAAUGGGCGCAAGCCUGACCCAGCAACGCCGCGUGGAGGACGAAGGUCUUCGGAUCGUAAACUCCUGUCUAGAGGGAAGAAGGCAGUGACGGUACCUCUGGAGGAAGCCCCGGCUAACUCCGUGCCAGCAGCCGCGGUAAUACGGGGGGGGCGAGCGUUGUUCGGAAUUACUGGGCGUAAAGGGCGCGUAGGCGGUUGGGGAAGUCAUGGGUGAAAGUCCUCGGCUCAACCGAGGGAUUGUCUGUGAAACCACCCAACUGGAGUGCUGGAGAGGGGAGUGGAAUUCCCAGUGUAGCGGUGAAAUGCGUAGAUAUUGGGAGGAACACCGGUGGCGAAGGCGGCUCUCUGGACAGACACUGACGCUGAGGCGCGAAAGCCAGGGGAGCGAACGGGAUUAGAUACCCCGGUAGUCCUGGCUGUAAACGAUGAACACUGGGUGUGGGGGGUAGUUGAAGUCCCUCCGUGCCGGAGAGAACUCAUUAAGUGUUCCGCCUGGGGGAGUACGGCCGCAAGGCUGAAACUCAAAGGAAUUGACGGGGGCCCGCACAAGCGGUGGAGCAUGUGGUUUAAUUCGACGCAACGCGAAGAACCUUACCGGGGUUUGAACUGUACCUGCGAUCUACAGAGAUGGAGAGUUUCCUUUGGGAACGGGUACAGAGGUGCUGCAUGGCUGUCGUCAGCUCGUGUCGUGAGAUGUUGGGUUAAGUCCCGCAACGAGCGCAACCCUUGUCUGUAGUUGCCAUCAGGUUGAGCUGGGCACUCUACGGAGACUGUCGGCGAAAAGCCGGAGGAAGGUGGGGAUGACGUCAAGUCCUCAUGGCCUUUAUGUCCCGGGCUACACACGUGCUACAAUGGGCGGCACAGAGGGCAGCGAACUCGUGAGAGUCAGCGAAUCCCAGAAAGCCGUUCUCAGUUCGGAUUGCAGUCUGCAACUCGACUGCAUGAAGUUGGAAUCGCUAGUAAUCGCGGAUCAGAACGCCGCGGUGAAUACGUUCCCGGGCCUUGUACACACCGCCCGUCACAUCACGAAAGUGGGUUGUACUAGAAGCCGCCGGCCUAACUCUUCGGGGAGGGAGGCGUCGACGGUAUGGCUCAUGAUUGGGGUGAAGUCGUAACAAGGUAACC